UCCAAGGAGGCAGCUAGUGGCCAACGAGCCUCGGCAGUAAUCGGACGUGUUUACGUUUUCCUUCCCUUUUUAAAUCACAAAUGAACAAUAAAUACCUAUAUACAUAUAUAUAGACACAAAUAUAUGUAUAUAUCCAUACAUUUCUCCACCCAGUGUACAGUAACCGCGUGAAUCUGCGUAAAAACGACGGAAAAUAAAAAGUCGUAAUUUGAAUCAGUGAUCAAUCAGCAGCUAAUCAGUCCCUCCCAUAAAGUGUUUUCCGCCCAAAAGACAUAACGACAACGCGACCAAGCCAAGCUCUGUUCUCUGUAUCUGCUCUUGUCUACACUCUAGUGCUCUAGUGACUUAAAGUUUCAUUAAAACUGUGCGUGUGUGGAAAAAAAUAUAAAAUACAAAAUAACUUAACUUAUGAUUGUGAUAACCGAUAAGUUGGUAUUCAAAUGAACAUUAAGAAUAUUAACCUAAUAUAAUUAUUAUUCGUACUGUGUACGACGUAGUAUAAUAAUAAUAAUAACAAUAAAAAUAAAAAAAGAUAACGAAAGCCGAGGACACUGGCCUCGCGUCCUCCGUCGUCAUCCCCCGCGUUCCCCUUGUUCGGAUUUCGCCCUAAAAAUAAUUUUCUACUGGAAAAUAAAUUAAAUAUUAACACGUACGAUAAAUUUCCAAGCAGUGGACUGAUAAUAGGUGACACUGGAACGUGGGGAUUAAACGGGGAUCAAUUGUCGAUGUGGAACCGACGGUUGCCGUACGGAGUAAAUAUGCGCGAGUGUUGGUACAGUUGACCUAACCUCUGCAAGAGAGUGCGCGAGGUACUCCUGGAUUAUAAAUACGAGUUGUAUUUUAUUUAAAUUUGAAUUUUAUUGUUAAUUUUGUCCAGGUGUCUUCUGGAGCAGGAGGUGAUGAAUAAGCGCACGGAUCACGCAGAGCUACAGUGCUUGUGAAGUCUGACAAGUUUUUAAAACCUGAUAAGAGUAAUUGCUGUCAUAGUUGGAGACAGUGAUAGGAGUAGACGUAGAGAUAGACGUAGACGUAGAGGCAGAGACGUAGAGCCAGUUCGAGGUUGGGGUAUAACUGGACGAGACGUUCCUGUAAUUUUAUUGAGUGAUCUCGAGUCUUGGCUGUCAAGGAGAACAAAGGAGCGAGUAGUUGACAGGAGUCGAUAAGCGUACUCGGGAAUAGUUAAUUGCCUGGGGUAUCAGAUCCCUAGGAACACUUGAUGGCAGUAGUGGGGCCAAGUCGGCACUCGCGGGUGUCCAUGAGCGUCUCGAUGUCGCUGAUGCAGGGGGGUGGAGCAGCCGGUGGAACCGCUGGCAGCUCCACGGGGACACAUCCCGGUCAGGCAGUUCUUGCUGCCCAGGCACCCCCUAAUUAUUAUCAUCCAGCUGCUCCUGCGCCUCAAUCUCAACCACCACCAGCUCAGGAUCCUGUCCAGCCUGAUCGGCCUAUCGGUUAUGGAGCUUUCGGCGUCGUCUGGGCUGUGACUGAUCCACGUGAUGGGAGAAGAGUUGCUUUAAAAAAGUUACCAAAUGUCUUUCAAAGUCUUGUGAGCAGCAAGCGCGUGUUCCGCGAACUCAAGAUGUUAUGUUUCUUCAAACACGAGAACGUACUGUCGGCUCUGGACAUCCUGCAGCCGCCGCACCUUGAUUUCUUCCAAGAAAUAUAUGUGAUAACGGAGUUACUUCAAAGUGAUCUUCACAAGAUAAUCGUCAGCCCGCAGCACCUCAGUUCGGACCACAUCAAGGUCUUCCUCUACCAAAUUUUACGGGGACUAAAGUAUCUGCACUCGGCGAGAAUUCUACAUCGCGACAUAAAGCCGGGCAAUCUAUUGGUGAACAGCAACUGUGUGCUGAAGAUAUGCGACUUUGGUUUGGCGAGAGUCGAGGAGCCAGAUAAGAACAAACACAUGACCCAGGAGGUUGUUACGCAGUACUACCGCGCACCGGAAAUUCUCAUGGGUGCCCGUCAUUACACUGCUGCGGUGGAUGUCUGGAGUGUCGGGUGCAUCUUUGGUGAGCUUCUGCGUCGGCGGAUUCUUUUCCAAGCCCAGAGUCCUGUUCAGCAGCUUGAACUGAUCACGGAGUUGCUGGGCACCCCGACGAUAGAAGACAUGCGAUAUGCCUGCGAGGGCGCAAGGACUCAUAUGCUAAGACGGGCACCUAAACCUUCUUCCCUGACGGCGCUUUAUACUUUGAGUAAUCAAGCGACUCACGAAGCCGUUCAUUUACUCUGUCAGAUGCUCGUCUUCGAUCCCGACAAGAGAAUCACUGUCGUCGACGCCCUUGCGCAUCCUUAUCUCGACGAAGGAAGACUGAGAUAUCAUUCGUGCAUGUGCACGUGCUGCUACACUACCAAUGCAGGCAUGAGACAAUACACGUCGGAAUUUGAGCCUUCGACGUCGCAUCCUUUUGAUGACCUGUGGGAACGUAAGCUCACUAGUGUACAGCAGGUCAAAGAGGAGAUGCACAAAUUUAUUGCCGAACAAUUGAAUACAUCUCGAGUGCCUCUGUGUAUAAAUCCGCAGUCCGCGGCAUUCAAAAGUUUUGCCAGUUAGAGCAAGUGAACCACCAAGCCAGCAACUACGUGCGCCGCGUAUAUGUACACAAUUACUUCUACUACUACUACUACUACCACUACUACUACUACUACUAUCCAUAUGAGCUAUCUACCGCUGUGUCAACUACUAUCGUCUACUUACGUCUCCUCCUCAACAAAAUGAUUCGAGAUAAAUCAGCUAUAGUUGGCACAACCUCGCUCGCAGAGUUCCACUGUGGCACAUCCUUCGGAAUUACCACCGUCACCUCAUCAGUGGGAGUAAUCAUCCAACGUCACUAUAAAAAAACAAACAGUAAUAAUACCAAUGCAUUUAAUUGGAGUAUUAUCACUAGGAAGUUCUCCAGGUCAUCCUCAAGGAUGUCCCGACGACAUUGAGUUGAUUAUUAAUAUCCGAUACCAUCUGAUCUUAUAUGAUAUGAUUAAAUAAAAAAAACUAACGGGGAGAAGCCGCAAUAACGUUCAUGGACGUGAUAAUAACGCUCGUGAACCGAGAGCCAAGAGAGACAAUAGACUGCCGAGUACUUUGUAGCUUCGAAUUUCAAUACUAGCUGAUAAAAAAACAAAAUGUUUUAAACAAACACUAGUUCUGUUUUAUUAAAAAUAGAUAAAUCUUUUUUUUUUUUAAGAGACGAGUACAUAAGACUGGGGAAUUUAAAAUAAAAUCAAGGGAUGGGAAGGUAGAUAAUUUUUUCAUUGAUAAGUAGUAGACAAUUUAUCCUUUUUUUUUUUUAAUUAAAACGAGGAAGGCCAGUUUUUACUAUUAGAUUUUUUCAUCAUUUAACUUUACACUAUUCCUCGUUUUUUCUUAUUAAUUAAUUAAUUAAUUAAUUGAUAAUUAAUUACUAUAAUAAUAAAUAAUUAUAGAUAUAAAUAUUCAGGCGUACGUUUAAAAGCUGGCAAAUAAAUGAAAUCCUGGGAUUCAUUUAAAGUAAAAAUUUAAAUAAUUAAUUAAUUAAUUAAGAUUUAAAAUUUAUCAGGAAGCUGAUGCGGUAUCGCAAAUUUAUGAUAUUUAUUAAUAAAAUGCUUCCAUGUUAUAGGAACGUGCAAUUCCUAAAGCAAUUGAAUUUAAAAAGUAAUUAAAAAUUUAGGCGGGAAAAAAAAAAUUUGAAUUGAGAUUCAAACAAAUAAUUGGGAAAUUAUUUGGAAUAGGAUCUUGUAAGUGCGAUAACGUUCUCAUUGAGUCGUGCAGACUCGAGUGUCUUAAAUAUUAAUAAUAAAUUAAAAAAAAAAAAAAAGAUACUCGGAAAUAACGUUAUGAGUGUGAUUUUAGUGAUAAGUUAACGGCUUGGAGAUAAUUUUUACCACGAGAUCCUAGGCCUAAAUAUAAAUAGCUAUGGUUGUAAUUGUAAUUGUAAUCUUUAAUUUUUAAAGACAGGUAAAAAACAUACGGAUAUUAAUUAUAAUUAUAUUGAUAAUAAAUAUAAACAAACGUAAUUAUUGUACGAAACAUAAAUUUAAUGUUUUAAUAACAGUAAUGUGUUCUUUUUUAACGCGUAGAUUACGUCUACGUAUAACUUAACGUUCAUUUCAAUUAGCUAAUUUAAAAUGUUCAUUAAUAAUUGUAAUAAUUAAUGAGUUUGUCGGAUAAAGUAAUUAAGGAUAUUCUUACAAAUUACCCCCCACUUUUUUAAAUUAUCCAGACUACAGUUCGGGAAUUUUACCAAUUAAUGUAAAAAAAAACUAAAGCGUUAAGGGAAAAAAAGGCGACGUAUUUAUAAUUUUCCAGGAUAUAGAUUUAAAAUUUUUCAGGUUAAAAUUUAUAUAAGAAAUUAAACAGGUGAUUAAUUUUUUUGAAUCUAUGUCCUGUCAAAAUGAAGACGUAGUCCUUUUUUUUUAAGACACUGGAAUCUGCAAUUAAUUAAUAAAAUUUAAAUAUGGGACAGUUGAGUCAGACACGAACUUGUCCGUGAGAGAGAAUGAACUUCAGAGUCUCUCCCACUUCUAAAACUUUUCAAACCGCGCAUGCGCAAAUAAAAGUGGGAGAAUAUUUAGUGUAUAGACCACCCAAAGUGGGGGUAAAGAUCGAAAACACCUGAGGUAAUUCUUCAUAAGAUAAUUUUGAAAAGUGGGGGUAAUUUGUGAGACUGUCUGAAUAAUUGAAAAUAGUUAUUGCACUCAGUUAAUUGCAAUUACUUAAUCAACUGAAUGAAUUCAUGACAGAUUUAACCCCUCCUAAACCUAAAAAUAUUAUUACACUUUGUGUGUAAAUCGAACGCAUUUGGUCAUCUAUUGCUGAUGAUCUCUGCGUCAAAUGAUUCAUAUGUAAUAAUAUUUGGGGAAUUACUUGUGAUUUAAAUACAAUCUAUAAGUAAUUUCACUUUAAAUUAGUGAGUGGGGGUAAUCAUAAUACAAUUAAACUGUUUCUUCACACGAACUUGAAAGGUGGAUUUAGCCACCUAGCGGCGUAGUUCAGUCAACUAACGCCUAUCAUUAUUCCAUUUGUAAAUAAGUCAUCACUGUACAUAUUUAUUGAUAUAAACAAAUUUAUCCUUUUUUGGGUUUCUCACAAUUUUAAAUAUUUAUCCGACAAACUUAUUAAUUAAUUUAUUUUUAAAAUGUAAUUCAUAAAAUGUCAGGUUCUGUAACAUUUGACCCGAGGACAAAGUUACUGAGGUCUAUAAUCGUAUGUAUUUUUUCAAAAAUCAGUUUCUGUAAGUUUAUAAUUUAAAAUUUCAAAAUAAACGCAAACGAAACAUUAAUUAUCACAAUUGUUAAUUAAUUAAAAAAUUUUUACUGAAAUCUACUGUAGAAAUUGAGUAAAAAAAAUUUUUAACUCAAAGUGAUCAAUUUAAAAAAUUUUAAUUAUUGUAAAAAAUUUCUAUAAUUUAUCACUGAGUUUAAAAUUAAAAAUUAAUAUUUAUGUAAAGUCACUGAUAAUUAAUAUAUACGAUUAUUUAGCUUCUGAUUAUUUUGUCCUCGGGUAACUAGUCGCGGUACCGUCAAAGGAUUUUGUUUAAAAAACUGUUCCAUUAAGCAAAUUAAUUUGCAAUUGUAAAUAAUUAUUCUAUAGCCAGUAAUGACAAAUUUAUGAACUAUAACAAUAAUAAUGUUUAUAAUAAAAUUGUAAUAAGCGUAUUUUAGACUGUCCUGCCAAUUUAGCCAGCGAAUGCUGCCGAGUUAAAAGAAUAAAAAUGAAAACAAAAGGAAAAAUAGUUAAUAAAUAAAUUUGAGUUGACAGAGGAGUUAAAUUAAAUUUGAAAAAACUAUUUCGAUUUGUAUUUGUAAAUAAGCAGAGUGCACUGCACUAUUAUUUGGAUAUUUAUCCGGAUUAACAAAACUAAACAAAAGCAUUUCUCGUAAGAUCUCAUUUAAAAUCCAUGGAUAUUUGGAUUUUAUCGAGUACGACUAAAUAUAAUCUCACGAGCAUGGAGAUUUAUUAAGAAUAAGGUAUACUAUUGUAGAAUUUAAAAAUAAGUUUACGUAAAAAUAAAACUAAAUAAACUUAAUUUAUCGAUUUAUUAAUAUUACUAAAUAAUUAAGGUAAUUAAUUAUUUAUUUGAUAUUUAAAUUGCCUUGAUUAUAUAGAAAGUGUGAAAAUUCAAGAUGCACCGACUUUUUUUUUUUUUUUUUUAAAUUACAAAUACGUUUGUUUAUUUUUAAUUGGAAAUCCUACUCUCUGAUUACCUUCCGAAAUAAACUUCCUUAUUAUUAUUAUUAUUGUUUUAGUCUCGUGGAUGACUAAUUGGCCAUUUUUAAUUAUUAUUAAUAAAAUAAAGUGCAGUGAUAGUGAAAGGAUCGCUUUCUUACGUAGAACUUAUGGAUAAAUUAAUAAAUAAAUAAAAGGAAAAUAAAUAAAUAGAAAAUCAUUUUUAAAAAA